UACAGAGGGGGCGAGCGUUAUUCGGAAUUAUUGGGCGUAAAGGGCGCGUAGGCGGCUUUUCAAGUGACGGGUGAAAUCCCUCGGCUUAACCGAGGAACUGCCUGUCAGACUGGAAGGCUUGAGACCGGGAGAGGUGAGUGGAAUUCCCAGUGUAGCGGUGAAAUGCGUAGAUAUUGGGAGGAACACCAGUGGCGAAGGCGGCUCACUGGACCGGAACUGACGCCGAGGCGCGAAAGCGUGGGGAGCAAACAGG
rnacentral:rRNA from 1 species